rnacentral:lncRNA from 1 species
UACUCAAAUGAAUUAAUAUCUCUCAUUAAUCAAUAAUACUAAUCUGAUCAUAAUUUUACAUACAAAAUAAACUCACAAAUGAACGAACAAACAAACAAACUUAAGAGUUACAUUACACCAAACAAAAAACGAGGGCUGCUACGGAGGCGAAGAAGGUGGGAAUGAAGGUGGCGGGGGUGGCGUCAGAGGUGGGGGCGGGAGCCGGAGGAUCGGCGGCGGAGAUACCAUUGACGGAGGAGAGUGCUAUCAACAUGAUGACCAUCAAGGCAGUUGCCAGCAUCUUCAUCUUCAUGGCCUUCAUUACUUCUUCAAACAGAUAAGUAUGCAUAUAUAUAGAGAGAGGGCUACAAAUACAAUCCCUCUUUCUAGAAAAUGUAAGCUAUAAAUAGAGAUAGGAAGUGGCUGAAUAUGUAUAUAUAGAUGGAUUCGUGGAGUUUGAGGUUAAAAAAGUUGAUUUGAUUGCUGUUUUCCUUUUUCUUGGUUAAUAAUUAUUUCUUUUCACUAUUAUAAUCUACUUAUUUGAACAAAAG